AGUGAACGCUGGCGGUAGCCCUAACACAUGCAAGUCGAACGGCAGCACAGUAAGAGCUUGCUCUUACGGGUGGCGAGUGGCGGACGGGUGAGGAAUACAUCGGAAUCUACUUUUUCGUGGGGGAUAACGUAGGGAAACUUACGCUAAUACCGCAUACGACCUACGGGUGAAAGCAGGGGAUCUUCGGACCUUGCGCGAUUGAAUGAGCCGAUGUCGGAUUAGCUAGUUGGCGGGGUAAAGGCCCACCAAGGCGACGAUCCGUAGCUGGUCUGAGAGGAUGAGCAGCCACACUGGAACUGAGACACGGUACAGACUCGAACGGGAGGCAGCAGAGGGGAAUAUUGGACGAUGGGCGCAAGCGUGAUCCAGACAUACCGCGUGUGUGAAGAAGGCCUUCGGGUUGUAAAGCCUGUUUGUUGGGAAAGAAAAGCAGCAGGUUAAUACCCCGCUGUUCUGAGGGUACCCAAAGAAUAAGCACCGGCUAACUUCGUG
rnacentral:rRNA from 1 species